CCUAACCGGGAGGGCAGCACAUGCAGGAAUAUUGCAACAAUGCGGAGGAAACCCCUGACUGCAGCCAUGCCGCGCUCGUGUGAAGAAGGCCUUCGGAUAUGUAAAGCACUUUCAGCGAGGAGGAAAGGCGACUGCCGUAAUACGUAUCAAGCUGUGACGUUACUGCGCAGAAGAAGCACCGGCUAACUCCGUGCCAGCAGCCGCGGUAAUACGGAGGUGCAAGCGUUAUAUCGGAAUUACUGGGUCGUAAAGCGUCACGUCAGGCGGUUUGGAUAAGUC
rnacentral:rRNA from 1 species